UAGAUUCAUCAUGGUCCCUCAACUGCCCGAGGUUAAAAUCCCAUAUCUACAAAAGCGGCAAAUAAAAUAUUACUGGAGCAAGCAAAAGGUGGAACAAAGCACAAAC